rnacentral:rRNA from 1 species
GACAGAGGGGGCAAGCGUUGCUCGGAAUCACUGGGCGUAAAGAGUGCGUAGGCGGUUUUUUAAGUUUGGUGGGAAAUCUCCCGGCUUAACUGGGAGGGUGCGCCGAAGACUGGAAGGCUUGAGUAUGGGAGAGGUAAGCGGAAUUCCUGGUGUAGCGGUGAAAUGCGUAGAUAUCAGGAGGAACACCUGCGGUGUAGACGGCUUACUGGACCAUCACUGACGCUGAGGCACGAAAGCGUGGGUAGCAAACAGG